AUUGAACGCUGGCGGCAUGCUUUACACAUGCAAGUCGAACGGUAACAGGCCGCAAGGUGCUGACGAGUGGCGAACGGGUGAGUAAUGCAUCGGAACGUGCCCAGUCGUGGGGGAUAACGCAGCGAAAGCUGUGCUGAUACCGCAUACGAUCUAUGGAUGAAAGCGGGGGACCGUAAGGCCUCGCGCGAUUGGAGCGGCCGAUGUCAGAUUAGGUAGUUGGUGGGGUAAAGGCCUACCAAGCCGACGAUCUGUAGCUGGUCUAAGAGGACGACCAGCCACACUGGGACGGAGACACGGCCCAGACUCCUACGGGAGGCAGCAGUGGGGAAUUUUGGACAAUGGGCGCAAGCCUGAUCCAGAAAUGCCGCGUGCAGGAAGAAGGCCUUCGGGUUGUAAACUGCUUUUGUACGGAACGAAACGGCCUGGGUUAAUACCCUGGGCUAAUGACGGUACCGUAAGAAUAAGCACCGGCUAACUACGUGCCAGCCGCCGCCGUAACAC
rnacentral:rRNA from 1 species